CAGAGCUGGCCAUCUGGUUUUGUUUCCCCAGGGUCAGAAAGAUCCAUCCCUGAGAGGAAAAGAAGGGAAGACACCCUACCCCACGCCCCUGGAACUCACACCCCAGUGUGGAGGAUCACACGCAGACACACACAGACCGAGGCCUGCCCAUCCCGUAUAGCUGUGGCCCUGAAGCCCGUGGAGCAUCGGAACCACCUGAGACAGUAAUCUCUCACUGAGCCUGGAGUGCAUGUUCCACCAAACCUGGCUGACCAGCAAGUUCCCCUCAGGAUCUCCCUGUCUCUGCCGCCACAGUGCUGGGAUUUCAGGGCACUGUGAGAAAGUCUCUCACCGUGACCAAGUUUCUCUGAGUGUCCAGCCAACCCAGGCUCACCAGCUCCCUCCAGCUACCGCCCGUCCAUCAGGUCAGCUGCCAACCCCAGGCUGAACACCAACCCCAGCUAUGAGCUCCUGGAGGCAUGACUCCCUCAGGGCCAGCAGCUCCGAUCCCCUCCCAGUAGUUAUCAUUGGCAAUGGUCCCUCGGGUAUCUGUCUAUCCUACCUGCUCUCUGGCUACAUCCCCUAUGUGAAACCAGGAGCUGUCCACCCGCACCCCCUGCUGCAGAGGAAGCUGACCGAGGCUCCAGGGGUCUCCAUCUUGGAUCAGGACCUAGAAUACCUUUCCGAAGGCCUCGAAGGCCGAAGCCAGAGUCCUGUGGCCCUGCUCUUUGAUGCCCUCCUACGUCCUGACACAGACUUUGGAGGCAGCCUAGACUCU
rnacentral:lncRNA from 1 species